GACGAACGCUGGCGGCGUGCUUAACACAUGCAAGUCGAGCGGUAAGGGCCCUUUCGGGGGUACACGAGCGGCGAACGGGUGAGUAGCACGUGGGUGACCUGCCCUCAGCUCUGGGAUAAGCCUGGGAAACCGGGUCUAAUACUGGAUAUGACUCCAUGACGCAUGUUGUGGGGUGGAAAGCCUUGUGCGGCUGAGGAUGGGCCCGCGGCCUAUCAGCUUGUUGGUGGGGUGAUGGCCUACCAAGGCGACGACGGGUAGCCGGCCUGAGAGGGCGACCGGGCCACACUGGGACUGAGACACGGCCCAGACUCCUACGGGAGGCAGCAGUGGGGAAUCUUGCGCAAUGGGCGAAAGGCCUGACGCAGCGACGCCGCGUGAGGGAUGA
rnacentral:rRNA from 1 species